UUUGAGAGAAGUUAAGAGCACGUGAAAUCGGUAAGGUGGAAACGGAUAGAGUUAACGUAUCUGAUUUGUGUUCAGCUGUUAAUUGUUUGUAAUGUAUAAUUUUAAAAGUGUGUUAGUAGUUUACUGCCGUACAUUGCUUUUUAGUUUACAUCUGCAUCAAUUAGCGGUGCAUUUACAAAUCUAUGUGCGCUGGAACAUGUGCGUGGGUUGCUGGAUUCACAAGAAGAUCUUUACAAUUUAUUGUAUUGAGCAAACUUGUUGUUAUAAGGCAAUUCUGCGUGCAUGUCUAAUGAUUUUUUGGGGUAUGGCAUUAGCGAAUGCAUUUUGUGUAUGGUUUUGCAGCGUAUGUCGGUCGCUUGCGACACGUAUAUUGUUUUGCAAAAAAUUUAAUAUACAUUUUGCUUCACUUGCCCGCUUCCAGUGUAAAAGUUAAUUAUCUAUCCGACCCGUCUUGAAACACGGACCAAGGAGUUUAACGUAUACGCGAGUCAUUGGGUGAUAAAACCUAAAGGCGUAAUGAAAGUAAAUUAGUGUUUUUAACACACUAUUAUAUGCGAUCUUAUAUAAUUUAUUUUAAAUAGGCGCAGCAUAGCCCCGUUCAAAUUGCAUGCAAUAGAGCGGAGGUAGAGCGUAUGCGUUGAGACCCGAAAGAUGGUGAACUAUGCCUGAGCAGGACGAAGCCAGAGGAAACUCUGGUGGAAGUCCGAAUCGGUUCUGACGUGCAAAUCGAUCGUCUGACUUGGGUAUAGGGGCGAA
rnacentral:rRNA from 1 species